rnacentral:lncRNA from 1 species
CACACUCCAGCGGCAGCCCUGUGCCUAGAAUAAGCUCCUGUUCUCUGUCCUCUCCCACGGGAAAAGUAAUGCAGGAAGCAGGUGAGAUCCACAAAACAAGGGAUCAGAGAAACAGAGCUAGCCGGGGUGUUUAAGAGAACUGAUGUGAAAAUAAGACACUGGAUCCAGAUGAGGGGCAGGUCUGAGUGCCGAGAAAACCCUGGCUCAGAGGCUCAGCCCGGGGCAGCAUCUACAAAGACCAGGGCCAGGGAGACAAGCAGCCAUUCUGGCCUCAAACACUGGGAGCCUUGUGCCAUGACCCAUCCUGCUCUGCCUGCCGCCUGCCCACUGUCAGGUGUGGGGCAGCUGACCAGCAGCCCGGUGCCAGUGAAUGUGGGGCUGGAGAGUGGAGGAGGAACCACAGGUCAGACAGCACGCAGCGGAGGCCUUAGCAGUGAGCGUGUGGAAGGAGCCUCAAGAUUCGCGGUGCGCGGGGAGAGUGCAGAUGGAGAGGCCUGGCGGGGAGUCAGCAGAGAACUGGGCAUUGGCUCUGCCACACUGUACCCUCCCCGCCUCAGACUAACUGGAGGGUGGGAUCUUGGGGCAGAGCGAGGCCUACACGGGCCGGGCCACUCGCUCGCAGGGCUUCAGCCCUCUGACUGACAAGCCUCAGAAAUCCUACGGAGGGCCAGCUGGGACCUGAGGAGUCAUGCAGCGCGGUGCACAGAGCAGGUGAGGGGGUAACAGGCAGGAGGCAGGCCAGAAAUCCACCCGGACCCCACCGCAGAUGGCAGGUGUCUGUGUAUGUGCAAAGGAGAACAAAAAUUUACUAGUGCUUUGAUGUGAACAGCACCUUCCACGGGUGAGUCAGGGUGACCCUCACCACAGCUGCAUGCAGGGUCCAAACAAGCUGACCACCUCGUGCUGACAGGCUCCAGCCCCUGGCAGCCUUCCCUGGUCACACUUCCGGUCACACUUCCCUUGCUCUGCAUCCCCUCUCCCACUCCCACAAAUAUUUUUCGAACCUCCUUAACACUAACCCUUUACUGCAACUAUAAAAAG